GAGCAGUUGGUUUCGUUGUCUUAAUUUGGGGCAGUAAUGAUUUCUGAGAAGCAGGUGAUUGAUAACGCGCAAAUUCAAAGCCCCUUGGGGGCUGCAUUGUAGCAUGGUGUGGGGAUGGGGAGACAGAGGGCUGGUAGGAUCCCGAAUUCCUAGUUUUUCUCUCCCUCUCCCUUGCUUCUUCAUUUUCUUCCUUCAGGCUUUCUUCCAUUUCUUUCUUCCAUCAAAUAUUUGUGGAGCUGGAACUGGGCUUCACUAUCAUAUUCCAAGGCCCUGUACUGGGAACAGACAAAGAAGCUCCUCCCAGAGACUGGAAGAAUGGUACAAGGUGUGAAAACCAAGGCUUAAAGCAUGCAAGUUAUUUGCCCGAGGUUUUUCAGCCACAAAUGAAGAAGCUGGGUCUGCUCCACACCUGUGAACCAGGCUAUUUCCACCAUAACCUGAACUCAGAUGAGCACCAGCCCAUGGAGAAUAGUCCAGAAGGCUGCCCAUAGCCUUAAAGGACAGUGUGAGCAUUAAUCACAGCCUGUUGCAUUUGAAGACCACCUCCGGAACAAUGUCGUUUUAAAUCUAUGCCCAAGGCUGAACUUGGAUUGGAAAGAUGGGAGAGACAGCAGGCCUGGGUGUAUUCAGGAUUAUUUCCUAAUAACUCACUCUCUCCUCCCUCCUCCCUUUCUUGAAACAGCCUCACAAAAUGAGUGUUAUAUUCUGGAUUAUCAGAAGAGAAAUGUGAGAUGCAGGCAGGUUGAGAAAAUUGCUCCAAGUCACUUCGGGAAUGUGUGCAUGGACAAGGUAGGUCCACCUGGGAUUGUUCAGCUGCAAGAUCAACACAGGGCCAAGUCAGAAAACACAGAUUUCCCAUCAAACCUGGGUUCUGUGAAAAUAAGAUCUUAAUGGAAACUC
rnacentral:lncRNA from 10 species